GACGAACGCUGGCGGCGUGCCUAACACAUGCAAGUCGAACGGAAAGGCGCUGCUCUUGCGGGGUGCACGAGUGGCGAACGGGUGAGUAUCACGUGUGUAUCCUGCCCUUGACUUUGGGAUAACUUCAGGAAAAUGGGGCUAAUACCGGAUAGGAGCUCCUGCAGCAUGGUGGGGGUUGGAAAGUUUCGGUGGUUGGGGAUGGACUGGCGGCUUAUCCGCUUGUUGGUGGAGUAGUGGCUUACCAGGGCUUUGACGGGUAGCCGGCAUGGGAGGGUGGCCGGCCACAUUGGGCCUGAGAUACGGCCCAGGCUCCUACGGGAGGCAGCGGUGGGGAAUAUUACACAAUGGGCGGAAGCCAGAUGCGGCAACGCCGCGUGCGGGAUGACGGCCUUCGGGUUGUAAACCGCUUUCGCCUGUGACGAAGCGUGAGUGACGGUAAUGAGUAAAGAAGCACCGGCUAACUACGUG
rnacentral:rRNA from 1 species